UGGGGAUAGAUAUUGAGAUGAGAUGUAUAAUUUCUAUUUUAUAAUUUAUCUUUUGUAUUAUAUAAUUUAUAUGAUAUAAUUUCUUAUGUGUUGUAAUUAGUUUGUGGGGAUAGAUAUUGAGAUGAGAUGUAUAAUUUCUAUUUUAUAAUUUAUCUUUUGUAUUAUAUAAUUUAUAUGAUAUAAUUUAUCAUGUGUUGUAAUUAGUUUGUGGGGAUAGAUAUUGAGAUGAGAUGUAUAAUUUCUAUUUUAUAAUUUAUCUUUUGUAUUAUAUAAUUUAUAUGAUAUAAUUUAUCAUGUGUUGUAAUUAGUUUGUGGGGAUAGAUAUUGAGAUGAGAUGUAUAAUUUUUAUUUUAUAGUUUAUCUUUUGUAUUAUAUAAUUUAUAUGAUAUAAUUUAUCAUGUGUUGUAAUGAGUUAGUAGGGAUAGAUAUUGAGAUGAGAUGUAUAAUUUGUAUUUUAUAAUUUAUCUUUUGUAUUAUAUAAUUUAUAUGAUAUAAUUUAUCCUAUGUUGUAAUUAGUUAGUAGGGAUAGAUAUUGAGAUGAGAUGUAUAAUUUGUAUUUUAUAAUUUAUCUUUUGUAUUAUAUAAUUUAUAUGAUAUAAUUUAUCUUAGUUGUUGUACUGAAUAUUGUCUAAGUUUUAACACUUGAUUAAAUUUGC
rnacentral:lncRNA from 1 species